GACGAACGCUGGCGGCGUGCUUAACACAUGCAAGUCGAACGGAAAGGCCCUGCUUUUGUGGGGUGCUCGAGUGGCGAACGGGUGAGUAACACGUGAGUAACCUGCCCUUGACUUUGGGAUAACUUCAGGAAACUGGGGCUAAUACCGGAUAGGAGCUCCUGCUGCAUGGUGGGGGUUGGAAAGUUUCGGCGGUUGGGGAUGGACUCGCGGCUUAUCAGCUUGUUGGUGGGGUAGUGGCUUACCAAGGCUUUGACGGGUAGCCGGCCUGAGAGGGUGACCGGCCAAAUUGGGACUGGAAUACGGCCCGGACCCCUACGGGGGGCAGAAGGGGGGAAUAUUGCAAAAUGGGGGGAAGCCUGAUGCAGCACCGCCGGGGGGGGGAGGACGGCCUUGGGGUUGUAAACCGCUUUCGCCUGUGACGAAGGGGGAGUGACGGUAAUGGGUAAAGAAGCACCGGCUAACUACGU
rnacentral:rRNA from 1 species